rnacentral:rRNA from 1 species
GACGAACGCUGGCGGCGUGCUUAACACAUGCAAGUCGAACGAUGAAGCCUUUCGGGGUGGAUUAGUGGCGAACGGGUGAGUAACACGUGGGCAAUCUGCCCUUCACUCUGGGACAAGCCCUGGAAACGGGGUCUAAUACCGGAUAACACUCUGUCCCGCAUGGGACGGGGUUAAAAGCUCCGGCGGUGAAGGAUGAGCCCGCGGCCUAUCAGCUUGUUGGUGGGGUAAUGGCCUACCAAGGCGACGACGGGUAGCCGGCCUGAGAGGGCGACCGGCCACACUGGGACUGAGACACAGCCCAGACUCCUACGGGAGGCAGCAGUGGGGAAUAUUGCACAAUGGGCGAAAGCCUGAUGCAGCGACGCCGCGUGAGGGAUGACGGCCUUCGGGUUGUAAACCUCUUUCAGCAGGGAUUAGAAAACCUACAUAGUUAAUAGCUGUGUAGCUGAUCAGUCCCAAAGGAAGCACAGGCUAAUCUCGUGCCAGCAGCCGCGGUAAGAC